rnacentral:lncRNA from 1 species
AAGUGCAGUAUGACGGUGAUCUCUGAACAGUUGCAAGGAGGCUAAUAACAUGUUAGCUCCUCUUAAUAUCUUGGUUGAUGCCAUCUGUCAGAUUUAGCCCACCGAGUUCCUAUUUUGCAUUUACUUUGCUUCUCUAAAGUUCUCUUCGUGCUGCAAGGAAGACGCGAGGGUUAGUUGCAUUCCUGCUGCCUUGCUUGAGAUGAAUCCAUUUGGUUAUUUUGCCUUUAAAUUCUAUAACACACCAUCGUAUCUAUUGGUAGGUGUCAUUCUGCUUCUCCUUGCAUGUCUAUUUGUGCGCUUGGGUUGCAGAUCAGGUUAGUAACACAUGGGAUCGUAUAGUUAUUCUAUUACUCAAGGCCCACCAUGGUGGUCAUUAUAUCCCUGGGUUAAGCAAGCUGAGCAUGUUAUGCAAGCUAUCGUGUGAGAUGCGCAUGCAUCACUGCCUAAAAAAGGGUCCAGACAGCAACGACAAGUGCUUACUAUGCUCCAUUAAAGCAGCUAAGAAGAUAAUUUAGUUUGGGUGAAUUUAUUAAUUUAUUAAUUAGCUUGAAGAAGAAAAAUAUUUCAGAACAGUGUCGUCAUAGAGUUAUGUUCAGUUUGGUGCUUUGGGUCAUUCUGGAUAAGUGAUUGGGUAGCGGUUGCUGUUUACUCGCAAGGGAUGGAUUGGUGCAAGUGAGUUUAUGAAAGCCUACUGGAACUGUUUGUGGAAGUAGUUGUAUGAACAUGUUGUGUGCAACUGAACUGAUCUGAUUGCUUAUCUUUGGAAAUCUUCACAUGAUGUGUUGUGCAUUGGUCUGCAUUAUAUUACUCUUAUAUUUUUAUUUCUCUUUUAUGAUAAUUUAAGGUGAAAACAGAGUAUUUAUAAUUGUGACAUGGACUACAUACUUUUCCUAAGUUUUUAGGUGUGAUGGUGGUGGUGUGACCACAGAUUUAUAUGUCUGGAUUAAGUUGAUAGGCCUGCUGUGUUUCAGGCGUGGUGUUCUUCCUUCAAUAUAUUGGCAGAUGCUUGCUUCUGUUAAUUAAAGCUUCAAUCUUAGGAGGUACUGCCCUGUGCUUGAAUGCAGUUGUCUUUGUUUAGACAGCAGCCGAGCCCAGUCAACAAUUAUUAGUAGUAGUUACGAGAUAAGGUAGAGGAGGCAUAUAGGGCCAGCCGUCGUAUAUGCAAUGCAUGAAAGUCGUUGUUGAUUCCAUUCAAGUAACGAAUAAAUAGUAGUUGCUAAUUCUAUUCAUAGUGAUUACAACCAUAGGUAAAUGUAUGCUUCUAACUUUCAUAUGCAUGCUUCCCAGUGUACAUACGUGCGAGUUCAUCUUCGCCCUAGAUGCCUGUGGCUUCUCUCUUUUGGUGCAGUUUACAAAUAGAAUGCUAAGGCAAGUUUAAUUUCUAAUGUGCAUGUAAAUCCUUGAGAUUUUUGGUGUUUAUGAAGAUCCAAUAAACAAAGAGUUGAAUGAUAUGAAAGGGGAAAUAGACAGAAGAGUGAAAAAUAUGUGGUUGCAGUGCUGAUGAAUUUUAGGAUCUGAAGCUACUGCUUAUGGAUACCAAUAUUACAUUAGCAUUUGGUAUUUAGAUCUGCUUGUUUUUACCUCUUUGCCUAUAAGCUCUAUAGAGAAACAUUUAUUCUCUGUUUGGACUUUGAUUUCUGAAUUUGGUUCCUUGCUGAAGAAAUAGCUGAAGCUUUGCUUUCUUAAAAAAAGUAAAGCUUUGCUGCUGCACACUAUUUUCUUGCCUUUCCUUG